UCUCAUUGAUUGGAAGGAUUUCCUUCCAAUCAAUGAGGUGUAACAACCUCAUUGACCACAAGGAAUGCCUUCUGGUCAAUGGUGUUGUUGUUUCUCAUUGAUUGGAAGGAUUUCCUUCCAAUCAAUGAGG
rnacentral:miRNA from 1 species